UCGUUGCGUUUAUAACAGCCUUCAAAGCCAAACCCUAAAAUUUUGCUCAUAAUAACUCAGAAAGUUUUCCCUUUCCUCGCAAAGCAUCGCUUGUUUCGAUCUGGAAUUGGAUCAAUCUCCAACGAUGGCUUGUGUGUCGGCUGUUUCGGGUUUUAGAGAAGAUGGGUCUGAGGAUGAGAAGGAAGUACUUGAGAUUGAGGUCAAUGAGGUCCUUUGGCGUCGGUUGAAAAGGGAGGAGCGUAGAGAAGGAAACACUUUGCCACAGGCUGGUGAGAGGAAGAAGGAGGAUGCUGCUGGAAAAACUCUCUAUUCACUUCCAGCUUCCCGAUCUACAAUGCGAAGAUAGAAUUCAUUCAGGCAACUGAAGAUGGUCCUGCCGCGUCAGAGGCCGGGAAAUAGUUCGUGAAAAGCUUCGAGACAGUUCCUGCCAGUCCAAAACUCGCAAGUGAAGACCCACUUUUUCCACUUGGUUGGUACCAUGGGAUGUGGCAUGCUUAUUGAAGCAUAAGUUGGGUGUUUGACUUUAGACUACUGCUUAUAAUUAAGGCCAGUGUUGCUAAAUUUAAUUUACUGUGCUUUCUUUAGACUACUGCUUAAAUAAAGAAGCCUGUUUGCAUGCAAGAAUGAAUCAGGUGAGAUUGAUUCUAAUGUUUCUUGGUUACAAGGGGAAUGAAUUUCA